rnacentral:rRNA from 1 species
UAGGGAAUCUUCGGCAAUGGGGGCAACCCUGACCGAGCAACGCCGCGUGAGUGAAGAAGGUUUUCGGAUCGUAAAGCUCUGUUGUAAGAGAAGAACGUGUGUGAGAGUGGAAAGUUCACACAGUGACGGUAACUUACCAGAAAGGGACGGCUAACUACGUGCCAGCAGCCGCGGUAAUACGUAGGUCCCGAUCGUUGUCCGGAUUUAUUGGGCGUAAAGCGAGCGCAGGCGGUUUAAUAAGUCUGAAGUUAAAGGCAGUGGCUUAACCAUUGUUCGCUUUGGAAACUGUUACACUUGAGUGCAGAAGGGGAGAGUGGAAUUCCAUGUGUAGCGGUGAAAUGCGUAGAUAUAUGGAGGAACACCGGUGGCGAAAGCGGCUCUCUGGUCUGUAACUGACGCUGAGGCUCGAAAGCGUGGGGAGCAAACAGG